rnacentral:rRNA from 1 species
GACGAACGCUGGCGGCGUGCUUAACACAUGCAAGUCGGACGGUAAGGCCCCAGCUUGCUGGGGUACACGAGUGGCGAACGGGUGAGUAACACGUGGGUGACCUGCCCCGCACUUCGGGAUAAGCCUGGGAAACUGGGUCUAAUACCGGAUAGGACCGCACCGUGAGGGUGUGGUGGAAAGUUUUUCGGUGUGGGAUGGGCCCGCGGCCUAUCAGCUUGUUGGUGGGGUAAUGGCCUACCAAGGCGGCGACGGGUAGCCGGCCUGAGGGGGUGGACGGCCACAUUGGGACUGAGACACGGCCCAGACUCCUACGGGAGGCAGCAGUGGGGAAGAUUGCACAAUGGGCGGAAGCCUGAUGCAGCGACGCCGCGUGGGGGAUGACGGCCUUCGGGUUGUAAACUCCUUUCACCAUCGACGAAGGUUUUCUGACGGUAGAUGGAGAAGAAGCACCGGCUAACUACGUGCCAGCCGCCGCGGUAAAAC